rnacentral:miRNA from 1 species
AAAGGCAUUAUGGACAGACCUCACA